UCUGAUGCAGCGACGCCGCGUGAGCGAUGAAGCCCUUCGGGGUGUAAAGCUCUUUCGGCAGGAACGAUAAUGACGGUACCUGAAGAAGAAGCUGCGGCUAACUACGUGCCAGCAGCCGCGGUAAUACGUAGGCAGCGAGCGUUGUUCGGAAUUACUGGGCGUAAAGAGUGUGUAGGCGGUGCUCUAAGUUCGGUGUGGAAUCUCCCGGCUUAACUGGGAGGGUGCGCCGGAAACUGGAGUGCUCGAGCGUGGGAGAGGAAAGCGGAAUUCCUGGUGUAGCGGUGAAAUGCGUAGAUAUCAGGAGGAACACCUGCGGUGUAGACGGCUUUCUGGAUCAUUGCUGACGCUGAGACACGAAAGCGUGGGUAGCCGGAAACUGGAGUGCUCGAGCGUGGCUGAGGAAAGCGGAAUUGC
rnacentral:rRNA from 1 species